AACGAACGCUGUCGGCAGGCUUAACACAUGCAAGUCGAGCGCCCCGCAAGGGGAGCGGCAGACGGGUGAGUAACGCGUGGGAAUCUACCCAUCUCUACGGAACAACUCCGGGAAACUGGAGCCAAUACCGUAUACGUCCUUCGGGAGAAAGAUUUAUCGGAGAUGGAUGAGCCCGCGUUGGAUUAGCUAGUUGGUGGGGUAAUGGCCUACCAAGGCGACGAUCUAUAGCUGGUCUGAGAGGAUGAUCAGCCACACUGGGACUGAGACACGGCCCAGACUCCUACGGGAGGCAGCAGUGGGGAAUAUUGGACAAUGGGCGAAAGCCUGAUCCAGCCAUGCCGCGUGAGUGAUGAAGGCCCUAGGGUUGUAAAGCUCUUUCAACGGUGAAGAUAAUGACGGUAACCGUAGAAGAAGCCCCGGCUAACUUCGUGCCAGCAGCCGCAGUAAAAC
rnacentral:rRNA from 1 species